UUUUGCUUAACCGGUCAAAGUUACCAAUAUGCUCUUACUAUUUUUUUCUAUUUUGGCCUGUAACACUUCAAACACUUAAAGGCUCAUCUACAGCACCUAACAAGGCUAGCCAAUGACUUUCCUGCCUUUUUUGCUUAACCGGUCGAGGUUACCAAUAUGCUCUUACUAUUUUUUUCUAUUUUGGCCUGUAACACUUCAAACACUUAAUGGCUCAUCUACAGUCUUAGUCAGCACCUAACAAGUCUCGCCAAUGACUUUCCUGCCUUUUUUGCUUAACCGGUCGAGGUUACCAAUAUGCUCAUACAAUUUUUUUUUCUUUUGGCCUGUAACACUUCAAACACUUAAAGGCUUAACUACAGUCCAAGUCAGGACCUAACAAAGCUAGCCAAUGACUUUCCUGCCUUUUUUGCUUAACCGGUCAAAGUUACAUUGGCUCAUACAAUCUUUUUCUCUUUUGGCCUGUAACACUUAAAUC
ensembl:lncRNA